rnacentral:rRNA from 1 species
CGGUUGAUCCCGCCGGAGGACAUUGCUAUUGGGAUUCGAUUUAGCCAUGCUAGUCGAGCGAGUUCAGACUCGCGGCGAAUAGCUCAGUAACACGUGGCCAAGCUCCCCUUCAGUCAGCGAUACCCUCGGGAAACUGAGGUUAACAGCUGAUACAAAACGCCAGCUGGAAUGCGGCGUUUCAGAAAGACAUCGCUGAAGGAUGCGGCUGCGGCCGAUUAGGUAGACGGUGGGGUAACGGCCCACCGUGCCAGUAAUCGGUACGGGUGAUGAGAGUCAGAGCCCGGAGACGGAAUCUGAGACAAGAUUCCGGGCCCUACGGGGCGCAGCAGGCGCGAAACCUUACACUGCACGGAAGUGCGAUAGGGGAAUCCCAAGUGCGAGGGCAUAUUAGCCCUCGCUUUUCUCGACUGUAAGGUGGUCGACGAAUAAGAGCUGGGCAAGACCGGUGCCAGCCGCCGCGGUAAUACCGGCAGCUCAAGUGAUGUCCCAUAUUAUUGGGCCUAAAGCGUCCGUAGCUGGCCGACCAAGUCUCCCGGGAAAUCCACCCGCCCAACGGGUGGGCGUCCGGUAGAAACUGGCCGGCUUGGAACCGGAAGGCUCAGAGAGUACGUCCGGGGUAGGAGUGAAAUCCCGUAAUCCCGGACGGACUACCGAUGGCGAAAGCACUCUGAGAAGACGGCUUCGACAGUGAGGGACGAAAGCUCGGGUCUCAAACCGGAUUAGAUACCCGGGUAGUC